rnacentral:rRNA from 1 species
UACGGGGGGGGCAAGCGUUGUUCGGAAUUACUGGGCGUAAAGGGCUCGUAGGCGGCCAACUAAGUCAGACGUGAAAUCCCUCGGCUUAACCGGGGAACUGCGUCUGAUACUGGAUGGCUUGAGGUUGGGAGAGGGAUGCGGAAUUCCAGGUGUAGCGGUGAAAUGCGUAGAUAUUAUGGGGAACACCAAAAGCGAAGGCAGCAGACUGGAGCACUCCUGACACUGAAACAAGAAAGCGUGGGUCGCGAAUGGG